GCUGGCAAUAAGCACACUGCAGCCAAGCUUGGAGCGGGUUGCGUUUGGCUGACGGGCCGCCGCUCCAAUGGCAGGAGCUGGGGGUCUACGGGUAACCAGUGGCGGCGAUGUGGGGGCGUGCCGGUGUCAGGCUAGGCUGUCCUUGCAGGGUGUCUGGGCUAAACUUCACCAAAUAAUAGCUGUUUGUAUUUUGGCUGCUGCAGGAGCCAUUUUAGUUUGUCUACUAAGUAUACCCUGCUGAUUAGGAUCAAGUUAAGGAGAGCCGAUCAUUGUUUGCCUUCUUUGACUUGUCAGAAGAGAAAGGGCUGUCCAGUACUGGAAUUAACACAACUAUAUCUCAUUGCUGAAUAUCGGAAGAACACACAUUGCUCACCAGCUACACUCAAGACUCAAGUGGAAUCUCUCUUUGAAGCUCCAAGUGACAAGUGAAGGAGCCAGAUCAGUGAUGGUGAACCUGUUAGGCACCAAGUGCCCAAAGUGCACGUGCAUGCCCAAACUGCAAGGCGCGGGCGCAUGCGUGCACCCCUCAUGCACGGCAGAGACCCAAAGACCAGCUGGCUAGUGGGAGGCGUGCGCGCAUGCACGGCAGAGACCCGAAAGAGAGCUGGGGGGACGUGCCAUAGGUUCGCCACUACUGAGCUAGAUCAUUCAUUGUCACAAACUUGACAGCUUCUACAAAGUGUGACAAAGGAAGAAUGGGAUCAGCAAAUUAUAUGGGUCUGAGGAAAGGAACUGAGAAGAACUAUUCUAUUUUCCAUUUUAAAUAGCGUUUGCCCUAUAAUUAGUACAGUUUGAUUAAAGAAAGUAAGUUGCCUUGAUCAUGGUUAAAUUAAUCAAAUGCAUGGAGUAUAGUCAAAGUCAUCUAAAGUAGGUUGUGCUUUAAACUAAGUAGAACCUAUUCUUCUGGUCAGUGCAAAUGUAACCCAGCUUUCCACAACCUUUGUUUAUCCAGGGUUAAUUGCAUAAAACAAUCUGGCAUCAAAAGCUUGUUUAAAAGAACCCUAAAAUCUUAAAGAUUCAAGCUAUAUAUUUAUCCUAAACUUUCCUACAAAUAAGACAGGUGUUUGACUUUUAAGAGGUAAAAUUAUCUCAGGUUUGUUCAUCUGUCUCCAAAAGAGUUUCUAAUUCUGUAUGUUUUGAAUUGUGCACCUGUAAAUUUUAUGAAUCUUUGGAUGAUAUAAAUGGAAAACAUUAAAAGUGAGAAAUAUU